GACGGUACUUGAUGAAUAAGCCACGGCUAAUUCCGUGCCAGCAGCCGCGGUAAUACGGGAGUGGCAAGCGUUAUCCGGAAUUAUUGGGCGUAAAGCGUCCGCAGGCGGCCCAACAAGUCUGCUGUUAAAAAGUGGAGCUUAACUCCAUCCAUGGCAGUGGAAACUGUUGGGCUCGAGUGUGGUAGGGGCAGAGGGAAUUCCCCGGUGUAGCGGUGAAAUGCGUAGAUAUCGGGAAGAACACCAGUGGCGAAGGCGCUCUGCUGGGCCAUCACUGACGCUCAUGGACGAAAGCCAGGGGAGCGAAAGGGAUUAGAUACCCCUGUAGUCCUGGCCGUAAACGAUGAACACUAGGUGUCGGGGGAAUCGACCCCUCCGGUGUCGUAGCCAACGCGUUAAGUGUUCCGCCUGGGGAGUACGCACGCAAGUGUGAAACUCAAAGGAAUUGACGGGGGCCCGCACAAGCGGUGGAGUAUGUGGUUUAAUUCGAUGCAACGCGAAGAACCUUACCAGGGUUUGACAUCCUGCGAAUCUCUUGGAAACUUGAGAGUGCCUUCGGGAGCGCAGUGACAGGUGGUGCAUGGCUGUCGUCAGCUCGUGUCGUGAGAUGUUGGGUUAAGUCCCGCAACGAGCGCAACCCACGUCUUUAGUUGCCUGCAUUUAGUUGGGCACUCUAGAGAGACCGCCGGUGAUAAACCGGAGGAAGGUGUGGAUGACGUCAAGUCAUCAUGCCCCUUACAUCCUGGGCUACACACGUACUACAAUGCUACGGACAAAGGGCAGCAAGUUCGCGAGGACAAGCAAAUCCCAUAAACCGUGGCUCAGUUCAGAUCGUAGGCUGCAACUCGCCUACGUGAAGGAGGAAUCGCUAGUAAUCGCAGGUCAGCAUACUGCGGUGAAUACGUUCCCGGGCCUUGUACACACCGCCCGUCACACCAUGGAAGUUGGCCACGCCCGAAGCCGUUACUCCAACCCUUGUGGAGGAGGACGUCGAAGGUGGGGCUGAUGACUGGGGUG
rnacentral:rRNA from 1 species